rnacentral:rRNA from 1 species
GACGAACGCUGGCGGCGUGCUUAACACAUGCAAGUCGAACGGAAAGGCCCUGCGUUUGUGGGGUGCUCGAGUGGCGAACGGGUGAGUAACACGUGAGUAACCUGCCCUUGACUUUGGGAUAACUUCAGGAAACUGGGGCGAAUACCGGAUAGGAGCUCCUGCUGCAUGGUGGGGGUUGGAAAGUUUCGGCGGUUGGGGAUGGACUCGCGGCUUAUCAGCUUGUUGGUGGGGUAGUGGCUUACCAAGGCUUUGACGGGUAGCCGGCCUGAGAGGGUGACCGGCCACAUUGGGACUGAGAUGCGGCCCAGACUCAUACGGGAGGCAGCAGUGGGGAAUAUUGCACAAUGGGCGGAAGCCUGAUGCAGCAACGCCGCGUGCGGGAUGACGGCCUUCGGGUUGUAACCCGCUUUCGCCUGUGACGAAGCGUGAGUGACGGUAAUGGGUAAAGCAGCACCGGCUACCUACGUG